CCGAGUUUACAACUCCCAAACCCAAUGUGAACGUUACCAAACUGUUGCCUCGGCGGGUCACGCCCCGGGUGCGUAAAAGCCCCGGAACCAGGCGCCCGCCGGAGGAACCAACCAAACUCUUUCUGUAGUCCCCUCGCGGACGUAUUUCUUACAGCUCUGAGCAAAAAUUCAAAAUGAAUCA
rnacentral:misc_RNA from 1 species